rnacentral:rRNA from 1 species
AGGACGAACGCUGGCGGCGUGCUUAACACAUGCAAGUCGAGCGGUAAGGCCUCCUUCGGGGGGUACACGAGCGGCGAACGGGUGAGUAACACGUGGGUGACCUGCCCUCAGCUCUGGGAUAAGCCUGGGAAACCGGGUCUAAUACCGGAUAGGACUGCUUGCCGCAUGGUGGGUGGUGGAAAGUUUUUUCGGCUGGGGAUGGGCCCGCGGCCUAUCAGCUUGUUGGUGGGGUGAUGGCCUACCAAGGCGGUGACGGGUA